UACGAAGGGGGCUAGCGUUGCUCGGAAUCACUGGGCGUAAAGCGCACGUAGGCGGAUUGUUAAGUCGGGGGUGAAAUCCUGGAGCUCAACUCCAGAACUGCCUUCGAUACUGGCGAUCUUGAGUCCGGGAGAGGUGAGUGGAACUCCGAGUGUAGAGGUGAAAUUCGUAGAUAUUCGGAAGAACACCAGUGGCGAAGGCGGCUCACUGGCCCGGUACUGACGCUGAGGAGCGAAAGCCAGGGGAGCAAACGGG
rnacentral:rRNA from 1 species